GACGAACGCUGGCGGCGUGCUUAACACAUGCAAGUCGAACGGAAAGGCUCUGCUUUUGUGGGGUGCUCGAGUGGCGAACGGGUGAGUAACACGUGAGUAACCUGCCCUUGACUUCGGGAUAACUUCAGGAAACUGGGGCUAAUACCGGAUAGGAGCUCCUGCUGCAUGGUGGGGGUUGGAAAGUUUCGGCGGUUGGGGAUGGACUCGCGGCUUAUCAGCUUGUUGGUGGGGUAGUGGCUUACCAAGGCUUUGACGGGUAGCCGGCCUGAGAGGGUGACCGGCCACACUGGGACUGAGAUACGGCCCAGACUCCUACGGGAGGCAGCAGUGGGGAAUAUUGCACAAUGGGCGGAAGCCUGAUGCAGCAACGCCGCGUGCGGGAUGACGGCCUUCGGGUUGUAAACCGCUUUCGCCUGUGACGAAGCGUGAGUGACGGUAAUGGGUAAAGAAGCACCGGCUAACUACGUG
rnacentral:rRNA from 1 species